rnacentral:rRNA from 1 species
GACGAACGCUGGCGGCGUGCUUAACACAUGCAAGUCGAACGGCAACGCCCUUCUUUUGUGCGGUUCUCGAGUGGCGAACGGGUGAGUAAUACGUGAGUACCUUUCCCUUGACUUUGGGUUAACUUCAGGAAACUGGGGUUAAUCCCCGAUCGGAGCUCCUGCUGCAUGGUGGGGGUUUGAAAGUUUCGGCUGUUGGGGAUGGAUUCGCGGCUUUUCCGCUUGUUGGUGGGGGAGUGGCUUACCAAGGCCUUGACGGAUAGCCGGCAUGAGAGGGUGACCGGCCACAAUGGGACUAAGAGACGGCCCAGACGGCAACGGGAGGCAGCAGGGGGGAAUAUUGCACAAUGGGCGGAAGCCUGAGGAAGCAGCGCCGCGUGCGGGAAGACGGCCUUCGGGGUGAAAAACGCUUUCGCCUGUGACGAAGCGGGAGUGACGGUAAUGGAUGAAGAAGCACCGGCUAACUACGUG